GACGAACGCUGGCGGCGUGCCUAAUACAUGCAAGUCGAACGGUGAGGCCCUGCUUUUGUUCUUUUCUCAUGUGUUGAAAGCGUGAGUGUCACGCGUGUAUCCCCCCCUUUGCUUUGGGAUAACUUCAUUGAACUGGGUCUCUUAUCCGAUAUGAGCUCCUGCUGCAUGUUUGGUGUUGUUAAGUUUCGGCGGUUGUGGAUGGACUCGAGGCUUAUCAGCUUGUUGGUGGGGUAGUGGCUUACCAAGGCGUUGAGGGGCAGCUGGCCUGGGAGGGUGACCGGCCACAGAGGGACAGAGAUAGGGGCAGGAGGGAUACGGGAGGCAGCAGUGGGGAAUAGUGCAAAAUGGGCGGAAGCAGGAUGCAGGAACGUCGGGUGGGGGAUGACGGCUGUAGGGUUGUAAACCGCUUGCGCCUGGGAAGAAGAGUGAGUGACGGUAAUGGGUAAAAAAGCAACGGCUAACUACGUG
rnacentral:rRNA from 1 species